rnacentral:rRNA from 1 species
AGUGAACGCUGGCGGUAGGCCUAACACAUGCAAGUCGAACGGCAGCACAGUAAGAGCUUGCUCUUACGGGUGGCGAGUGGCGGACGGGUGAGGAAUACAUCGGAAUCUACUUUUUCGUGGGGGAUAACGUAGGGAAACUUACGCUAAUACCGCAUACGACCUACGGGUGAAAGCAUGGGAUCUUCGGACCUUGCGCGAUUGAAUUAGCCGAUGUUGGAUUAGCUAGUGGGCGGGGUAAAGGCCCACCAAGGCGACGAUCCGUAGCUGGUCUGAGAGGAUGAUAAGCCACACUGGAACUGAGACACGGUCCAGACUCAUACGGGAGGCAGCAGUGGGGAAUAUUGGACAAUGGGCGCAAGCCUGAUCCAACCAUACCGCGUGGGUGAAGAAGGCCUUCGGGUUGUAAAGCCCUUUUGUUGGGAAAGAAAAGCAGAAGGUUAAUACCCCGCUGUUCUGACGGUACCCAAAGAAUAAGCACCGGCUAACUUCGUG